GGGCAACGUAGCACGUCUGGUGAACAGGGCAGAGCUCCAUAUCCGCAGGCAGAACAGUACAAACUGGACCAGCAGCACGACAAGACCAAUCAAGCAGGAGAGACCAGCCUCCCCUGUUCCCAGCUGUGUGUCCAUGAAGAGUGACUGGUCUAUGGGUCGUCCUAUAUCCUUUAGAGAGGGAGACUUUUCUACUGAACAAAGAAACCAACAGGAGAGAUCAGAGUCAGAGAUUCUCAGUGGUCAGUCUUCCCAGAGUCAUCAAACAGACCUGGCCUCCAUAUUCAGUGUAUGUGGUCCUGUUAUGUACAUUUGUUUUUGUUUACCUCAAGUAAAGUUGAUCUGUCAAUCAUU